AUUGAACGCUGGCGGCAGGCCUAACACAUGCAAGUCGAGCGAGCGGCGGACGGGUGAGUAAUGCCUAGGACCUGCCUGGUACUGGGGGAUAACUAUAGGAAACGGUAGCUAAUACCGCCUACUAUCGGCUAACCCCUAUGGGAUUAGCUAGUAGGUGGGGUAAUGGCUCACCUAGGCGAACAUCCCUCUCUGGUCUGAGAGGAGGAUCAGGCCAACUGGGACGGAGACACGGACCAGAAUCCUACGGAGGCAGCAGUGGGGAAUAUGGCACAAUGGGCGCAAGCCUGAUGCAGCCAUGCCGCGUGUAUGAAGAAGGCCGUAGGGUUGUAAAGUACUUUCAGUCGGGAGGCGUUACCGACAGAAGAAGCACCGGCUAACUACGUGACAGCAGCCGCGGUAAUAC
rnacentral:rRNA from 1 species